UGGGGAAUAUUGCACAAUGGGCGCAAGCCUGAUGCAGCCAUGCCGCGUGUGUGAAGAAGGCCUUCGGGUUGUAAAGCACUUUCAGCGAGGAGGAAGGUGGUGAACUUAAUACGUUCAUCAAUUGACGUUACUCGCAGAAGAAGCACCGGCUAACUCCGUGCCAGCAGCCGCGGUAAUACGGAGGGUGCAAGCGUUAAUCGGAAUUACUGGGCGUAAAGCGCACGCAGGCGGUUUGUUAAGUCAGAUGUGAAAUCCCCGGGCUCAACCUGGGAACUGCAUUUGAAACUGGCAAGCUAGAGUCUCGUAGAGGGGGGCUAGAAUUCCAGGUGUAGCGGUGAAAUGCGUAGAGAUCUGGAGGAAUACCGGUGGCGAAGGCGGCCCCCCUGGACGAAGACUGACGCUCAGGUGCGAAAGCGUGGGGCAGCAAACAGGAUUAGAUACCCUGGUAGUCCAGCGCUGUAAACGAUGUCGAUUUGGGGGUUGUGCCCUUGAGGCGUGGCUUCCGGAGCUAACG
rnacentral:rRNA from 1 species